GCACCCUAGCUACUUUCACAAGAAACCACAACAUGCAUUACCACCACCAUCCUCCACCACCACCAGGACCACCAGGUCCUCCACCGCCACCACGGCCUGAGCCAUUUGCUGAUGCACCGCCACCUCCACCUCCCGGUCCUCCUUCACCGCCACCGCCACAACCAUUAUUCUAUCAUCACUCACCACCACCACCACCACCACCGGAGCCCUGUCCUCCCCCAACUCUAGUUCCUUUUCAUCAUCAUCCACCACCACCAGGGCCUCCGGGACCUCCACCAUCACCAAGGCCUCUCGGUCCUCCGCCGCCACCUUAUUAGUAAUUAGUACGAUGAAUAGCACACAUAUAUAAUUUGAAUUAAGGAGUAAUUAAUAGUAACAGUUUAGAGUCUUUGCAUAUAAUUGCAUUUGUUUUUUUAAAUUAUAUUGCAUCAUAUCCAUCCAACUACUCUUUUAUGUACCUUAGUUGUUGCAUUGAAAUAAAUUUAGGAAGAAAAAUAAAAAGCAUGUGUGCA
rnacentral:lncRNA from 1 species